CUUGCAAUGCUCAAUGGCUUCGAAUUAUUUUGCUUCAGCUGAGUCAACAGGUUGAAGCCUCAUACAGGUUGAGAUGGAUCCAAGAUUUCCUUCAUGGUACUUUGAUUUUCAGGUGCAACUAUGUAUGAUUCCAUGCAGCGAACAGUGAUUGCACCCUCCGGAAGUUGCACAUUAUUAUCAACCACAAGUUGGUCAUAUUGUUUCCAAAUUUUUUGAGUAAUUCAAGUUUACCCACAUUAAACAUGUUGUAUCAAAAGCGAGAGUAGCAUGUGUGGUUCUAUGAUAAUUUAGGUAGCUCGAAAGAACUAAAGGUUCGUCUUGUGCUAGACUAGCAAGAAUGGUCACUUUGAAAAUUUGAAAAGGCAUAGCAAAAAAAUGUUCAGUAUAGGGCUUUCUAUCAAUUUGUAAAUUUCAUGUCUACAUACAUAAGCAGGCGUGGUCUUUUGGUUUGAGCAGAGACUGGAUACAUACCAAUAACAUUAUACCUGUCGGAAGAAAGUGAAGUCAGUCUAUAG